rnacentral:rRNA from 1 species
GCGAACAAGUACCGUGAGGGAAAGAUGAAAAGAACUUUGAAAAGAGAGUAAAAUAGUACGUGAAAUUGUUGAAAGGGAAACGAUUGAAGUCAGUCGUACCGACGGAAAAUCAGCUCUUCGAGUGCGAACUUGUGGGCGUACGUGAGCUUUAACCGGCCUCGUUGUUUGCGAUGUUUGUGCUUUUUGGGUGUACUUUUUCGUAUGGUUGGCCAACGUUUGUCUCGGUUACAAUAAAAUGAUUGGAGGAAUGUUCCUUAAAUA